GUUGUUUUUUUUUUUUAACCUGAGUACCUUUUGUUUACAGUGCCUAUUGUUCUGUUACCUAUUAUUGGUUCUCCUCAGACUGGCGAUUGGCUGAUGGCGCCGUCAAUCCCCAGGGGAAAGGACUAACUUUCAGACAUCUCGGGAAAAUAUUACUGUGAGCCCCUUCUUGCUGAAAUGAAAGGUUCUGGAGAAAACCCAAGAGAUUCGGGAAAUGGUGCCAGGUCAACUCAAGACACCCCUAUUCCACCCACACUUUAGAGUGCUGGAGAAGCUGGUGUGUGCAUCUAUAGAUAAUCAGAAAGCUACUUUGUGAACCUGGAAUGAAAAAAAGCAGGACUGGAUGUAUUAUUUUAUGGUACUUAUCAAGAAUGGCUGGCUAAAUAAUGGUACAGCUUCACAAUGGAAAAUGUAUCUAAAUAUAUAGUGCUAACAUGAAGCACCAUGAGAGUAUGACUAGUAUACUCUCAUUUUCAUGAAAAAAAUUGAGCCAUAUUUAUAACUGAAAUAUGCUAAAAGAGUAGAGCUUAAAUGUUCUUUACCCCCCCCCCCGCAAUUUUUUUUUUUAUAAUGCAAUAAUCAUUAUCCCAGCCCAGGGUAUUGUGCCUGUUUAUUCAGUUCAACCCCUCUGAGCAUAAAUUUGGGACAGUUAGGUUUCCAAGCACAACCCCCCACCUUCACCUUUGGAAUUUAUAGAAGUCUCAGGAGAAUCCAUUUGGACAGAAGUUAGGCAUCUUCUCCAUUGAGCAGUCAAGAGUUAAGAGAUCAUUGAAGUACAAAGAAUCUGUAUCAUGCAAUAUUUACAUUGCAGGUAGGGUCUUCCUUUCAGCAAAAUAGCAUCAAAUGUCACAUCAGAUAUUGUUCAGGUGAAGCUUAUCUGACUUUAUAUUGAGUUUGUAAGUGUGUUUUGGUUUUAUAGCUAUAUAAGCAUAAAGCAUUUAUACCAAGGUUGAUAUAUUUUUAUCAAAAAUUAUAAGGACUAGAUGGUCCAUGAGAAGUUUAUUUUCCUUUAGACGGGUG
rnacentral:lncRNA from 1 species